GCCAGGUGUGGUGGUGCACGCCUGUAGUCCCAGCUGCUUGGGAGGCCGAGGCAGGAGAAUUGCUUGAACCUGGGAGGCAGAGGUUGCAGUGAGCCGAGAUCAGGCCACUGCACUCCAGCCUGGGUGAUAGAGCAAGACUUUGUCUCAA
ensembl:misc_RNA Metazoa_SRP Metazoan signal recognition particle RNA